CGGUAGCAGCGGCCGCAGUAUCAGUAUCCACCUCUACUCUAUAGAAAAGCCCCACGGCUAACGAAAGCAGCGCACAACAUAGCAAACGGUCGAUCGAUCGACCGACCGACCAACCAACCAACCAACCUACUGGUCAGCUGACGACUCUUUGGCCUUGAGCGAGCGCAUCAUCGUCCUCCCUUCAUGGUGUCGUUCUUGAGCUAGUCUACCGUACGCUGCAAAGCGCGCAAGUGGAGUGCUCUCGUGUGCGGGCUCUUAGCUACUCCCAGUGUGAUCUAAUUACGCCAUUGUAGGUCGCCAUACUUGGAUCUCGUGUGGAUACAACAGCAAAGGCUUUGGUUUAUUGACGUCGUAGGGGAACGCGUGUGCCGGAGGAAGUGUUACGAUUAUAACUGCAGUAAGCUACAAAAACAGACUCCACUAACUGGCGUGAAUGAAUAUUGGGGCAAUAGCGGUUAGGUGAGCGCAACAGCUGACGUGGACUUAAAACGAGAUUCAGGCAAAGAAGGCUUCUGCGCUGCGCAGCUGUUAACGAUGACGACUGAAGAUGAAGUUCAGCGGCGGGCUCGAGCUUUCGUCAAAGACCUGCUUAAUGAGGCGAUAAAGGAAGUGAAGAGAUGCAACACUGAACGAGCCAGUUGUAAACGGGACGAGAGUAACUACGAAAAAGAAGCUCCGGUCGAGGGUCACUGGUAUAAACGACUACGUAGUCAACUUUGCACGUGUGUUCGGCCUCAGGAGCACUAGCUAGAUGCUGGUGCGCCCACAUAAAUUAACUAGAGAUAAUUUCUGUCUUAUUUUAAUAACUACAUGCCAAGUGAAUUGUUGUGGGCUUAUGUGAAUAAAGUCGCGUCGAUACUUGCUUUGGAAUAAUAAAAAUGAGCGGAUCUUCUAAAUCGGUACGUUGGAUGCCGUCCUAAGCAUUUCAACACAAACCGAUCUAUUAUGAGUUCCUUACAUGUCGAGCGACAGCCUUAGUAACUUCCCAAUGACAUCCCACAUUGAGCUCAGCUGCGAUCUGCUUUGUUAAAACCCUAGACAUAAAAACAAAAUAAGAAUGGCUAUUUUUCCUAUGUUCACAAUUUACACUUAGCAAAGCCUCAGUUGCCACUCUACCGGGUAUUUGUUAAUACCAGAAGUUACUCUCCAGGAAUUUUCACUAUGCUUAGCUUGCAAAUUACCACACGUUCUAGCUGAACUAUAUCCACCCGUAUGUGGAUGCUGAGAAAUACUUGA